rnacentral:rRNA from 1 species
UACGUAGGUGGCAAGCGUUACUCGGAAUCACUAGGCGUAAAGCGCAGGUAGGCGGCUCGACAAGUCUCUUGUGAAAGCUCCCGGCUCAACUGGGAGAGGUCAAGGGAAACUGUCGGGCUGGAGUGUGGUAGAGGAGACUGGAAUUCCCAGUGUAGAGGUGAAAUUCGUAGAUAUUGGGAAGAACACCGGUGGCGAAGGCGGCGGCCUGGUCCGUAACUGACGCUGAGGCGCGAAAGCGUGGGGAGCAAACAGG